rnacentral:lncRNA from 1 species
UUUUUUGCAGUCUUUUUUGAUGCCAUGAUGUAAUUUUUUGGGCUCUUUACGAGUUCUCUGGAUUUCUGAUUAUCUCAGCUAAUGUAGUUGUGUAUAAUUAUGGUUAUGUACCACCUGACAAUUAUGUUUUAACAUUUUAUAUGUUUUAACAUCCUUUGUGACAUUCUCUGCUGGACUGAUUGACAUUUAUUUUGUCUAAUUGGUCACUUUGGUCUAUUUUGACUAAAAAGGGGGAGAAGUUAAUAUGUGGAGAG